GAGGAAUAUUGCACAAUGGGCGCAAGCUGAUGCAGCAACGCCGCGUGAGGGACGAAGGCCUUCGGGUUGUAAACCUCUUUUCUGAGGGACGAGGAAGGACGGUACCUCAGGAAUAAGUCUCGGCUAACUACGUGCCAGCAGCCGCGGUAAAACGUAGGAGGCGAGCGUUAUCCGGAUUUACUGGGCGUAAAGCGCGCGCAGGUGGCUUCGUGAGUCGGACAUGAAAGCUCCUGGCUUAACUGGGAGAGGCUGUUCGAUACUGCGGGGCUUGAGGUUGGGAGAGGGACGCGGAAUUCCCGGUGUAGUGGUGGAAUGCGUAGAUAUCGGGAGGAACACCAGUGGCGCAAGCGGCGUCCUGGCCCACACCUGACGCUGAGGUGCGAAAGCGUGGGUAGCAAACAG
rnacentral:rRNA from 1 species